ACCCGAAACCAGGCGAUCUAAUUGUGAAUAGCUUGUAGAGCGAACCAUUGAAUGUAGAAAAAUUCUUGGAAAAUUUGCAGUUAGCAGCGAAAAACUAAUCGAGCUUGGAUAUAGCUGG
rnacentral:rRNA from 1 species